AGCUGAUGAGUCUGAGUGAAUUCCAGCCUAACUUACUCCAACUGCCUGUCCCUAUGACCAAAUGGAACUCAUUAAAGUGAGCUAACGGAUCCAUGAAAGGAAGAGACUUGUACCAGGACUCAAUAAUGCAAAUGGAUGCUACAUGGCUGAUCAUCAUUAGCUUCUUCCAGGAAGUUCUGGAUCCAAAUCCUUCCUAGAGAACUUACAAACUUUGUGAACUGGACAAGUCUUAAUCUUCUAUGUGACACCAUUUCCUCAUCUGUAAAGGGAGGAUGUUGGAUGUUCUAAAAAAUUCCUUUCAGUUCUAAAUCUAUAAUCCUAUAAUUGUUUGAAGACAGAAGUCAUGGACUAAAUUAAAAAAUCCCCAAAACAAAUGAGAAGUACACAUUUUGGCACCUACUGAGUGCCAAUGUUUACCAAUAGAAGUAGAAAUACUGAUGUCUGUGUGUCACAUAUAUGCAGGAAUGUUCUGAUAAAUGUUGAAAGAUGUAUACAUGACAUACUUUCAAGUAUAAUCUUAUUAGCAUUUUCCCCAUCACUUUCUUAAGUCUGGAUAAUAAAUAAGACAAUAAAUCAAGACUUGAUUCAUAACAUUUGCCAAUUUCUAUGGUGUAGGUAUCCAUACUAAAUAUUUAACAAUAGCCUUUAGCCCAUAGGAGCUGGCUCCAGCACUCUUUGCACAUAUGCUACAUCUGAGGCAUCGUAUUAUCAACCCGUGGGAGCUCCACCACUCUACUCAUGUUUAUUUACUUUUGUAACACUCUCCCCCCUAAUAAUGUAGGACCUACUUUUGUUUUUAAAAUUAAAGCAAAAUCCAGAUGUUUGAAAGGACAUUGACACCCCCAACACAACAGAGAUACCUUGGCAUGUUGCACUGACUGAUGGAACAAGCACUGUUACAUGCAUAUCUUUUGAGGGUAUGCAGUAUGAGUGUAGACUCAGGAAGUCUGAUUAUUCCACAGAAGCAGGUUUAGAAAAAAUCACCUAGGCCAAUGUUAGCCCUGUGGGUGAAUGAAUGGUAUCUCCAAAUGGGGGCAUAUAGAUUCUGAUUCAAUGCCUUUGUACAAAAUAUAUGCUGAUUUAGAACUUGGUCCAAAGGGCUAUCAAACUGUGCCUAUUCUUUGACUAGAAAUAAAAUUCUAAGGAGACCAAAGAAAAGGAAAAGGACUCUUUUGUAAAAAAUAUUCUUAGCAGCUCUGUUUGUGGCAGCAAAGAACUGGAUGCUGAGCAAGUUGGGGAAUGGUUGAACAUAUGGUAUAAGUGAUGGUAUAUGGUAUAUGAGAUGGGAUGGUCUCAGAAUACACUGGAAAGACCUAUAUGAAUUGAAACAAAGUGAAGUGAGCUGGAAGCAA